UACAGAGGGUGCGAGCGUUGUCCGGAAUCACUGGGCGUAAAGGGCGCGUAGGUGGCCUGUGGAAGUCUGCGGUGAAAGCCCGGCGCUCAACGCCGGGUCGGCCGUGGAUACUCUCGGGCUUGAGCUUACUAGAGGCAGAUGGAAUUCCGGGUGUAGCGGUGGAAUGCGUAGAGAUCCGGAAGAACACCGGUGGCGAAGGCGGUCUGCUGGGGUAAUGCUGACACUGAGGCGCGACAGCGUGGGGAGCAAACAGG
rnacentral:rRNA from 1 species